rnacentral:snRNA from 1 species
CAUCCAUCGACCCCGAUCAAGUGUAGUAUCUGUUCUUAUCAGUUUAAUAUCUGAUACGUGGGCCAUUGGCUCACAUGAUAUUAAAUUU